GCGGAUGUAGCUCAGUUGGUAGAGCAUCAGUUUGUGGCACUGAGGGUCGCCAGUUCAAUCCUGGUCAUUCGCC
rfam:Candidatus Neoehrlichia lotoris str. RAC413 nlRAC413.contig.0_1, whole genome shotgun sequence.